rnacentral:ncRNA from 1 species
UUUUAUAAAAAGCAAAAUAAUUGAAAAAUUAUUACGCAAAGAGAUAAGUCUAAGGAAGUAAUUCUAUGAUUGUUAUUUCUGCCUCA